GCCCCGUUAGCUCAGCGGAUAGAGCAUCCGCCUUCUAAGCGGAGGGCCGCAAGUUCGAUUCUUGCACGGGGCA
rnacentral:tRNA from 1 species